rnacentral:tRNA from 1 species
GCGGGAUUAGUACAGUGGUAGUAUGCAUCCUUCCCAAGGAUGAGACACCAGUCCGAUUCUGGUAUCCCGCUCAA